UCGGGAGCCCGAAGACAGGUGCUGCAUGGCUGUCGUCAGCUCGUGUCGUGAGAUGUUGGGUUAAGUCCCGCAACGAGCGCAACCCCCUAUCUCUAGUUGCCAGCGAUUCGGUCGGGGACUCUAGAGAUACUGCCCCGGUUAACGGGGAGGAAGGUGGGGAUGACGUCAAGUCCUCAUGGCCCUUAUGCCCAGGGCUACACACGUGCUACAAUGGGCGGUACAAAGGGUAGCGAUGCCGCGAGGUGAAGCCAAUCCCAAAAAGCCGUCCACAGUUCGGAUUGGAGUCUGCAACUCGACUCCAUGAAGCCGGAAUCGCUAGUAAUCGUGGAUCAGCAUGCCACGGUGAAUACGUUCCCGGGCCUU
rnacentral:rRNA from 1 species